GUCUAUGGCCAUACCAUCCUGAACAUGCCCAAUCUCGCUUGAUCUCAGAAGCUAAGCAGGGUUGAGCCUGGUUAGUGCUUGGAUGGGAGGCCUGGGAAUACUGGGUAGGCCUUAAAAA
rnacentral:rRNA from 1 species